ACUGCUAUCGGGAUUCGAUUAAGCCAUGCGAGUCGAGAGGGUUCGGCCCUCGGCUGACGGCUCAGUAACACGUGGAUAACCUGCCCUCAGGUAGGGGAUAAUCUCGGGAAACUGAGGAUAAUACCCUAUAGGCAUCCUAUGCUGGAAUGCUUGGAUGCUCAAAGGUAACGCCUGAGGAUGGGUCUGCGGCCUAUCAGGUAGUAGUGGGUGUAACGGACCCACUAGCCCGCGACGGGUACGGGCCUUGAAAGAGGUAGCCCGGAGAUGGACUCUGAGACACGAAUCCAGGCCCUACGGGGCGCAGCAGGCGCGAAAACUUUACAAUGCGGGAAACCGCGAUAAGGGGAUACCGAGUGCCAGCAUAUUAUGUUGGCUGUCCACAUGUGUAAACGGCAUGUGUUAGCAAGGGCCGGGCAAGACCGGUGCCAGCCGCCGCGGUAACACCGGCGGCCCGAGUGGUAAUCACUUUUAUUGGGUCUAAAGGGUCCGUAGCCGGUUUGAUCAGUUCUUCGGGAAAUCUGACAGCUCAACUGUUAGGCUUCCGGGGAAUACUGUCAGACUUGGGACCGGGAGAGGUAAGAGGUACUACAGGGGUAGGAGUGAAAUCUUGUAAUCCCUGUGGGACCACCAGUGGCGAAGGCGUCUUACCAGAACGGGUCCGACGGUGAGGGACGAAAGCUGGGGGCACGAACCGGAUUAGAUACCCGGGUAGUCCCAGCCGUAAACGAUGUUCGCUAGGUGUCAGGG
rnacentral:rRNA from 1 species